GCCCGCAAUUCGGAUGCUCGAGUUUUUCAGCAGAUACAUUUUUGAUAAAGGCUCACAACGAUCGCUGGCGGCGCGGCUAAUACAUGGUUCUUAAACGAGAAGGUGUAGCAAUACACUUGUACAGUGGCGAACGGGUGAGGAGUGCAUGGGUAACCUACCCUCGAGUGGGGAAUAACCAGCCGAAAGGUUGGCUAAUACCGCGUACGCUUCCCGGUCUGCGGAUCGGGAAGGAAAGUCAUCCCGUGGGGAUGACGCUCAAGGAUGGGCUCAUGUCCUAUCAGCUUGUUGGUAGGGUAACGGCCUACCAAGGCUUCGACGGGUAGCUGGUCUGAGAGGACGAUCAGCCACACUGGCACUGCGACACGGGCCAGACUCCUACGGGAGGCAGCAGUAAGGAAUAUUGCGCAAUGGGCGAAAGCCUGACGCAGCGACGCCGCGUGGGGGAUGAAGGCCUUCGGAUUGUAAACCCCUUUUGGGAGGGAAGAUGGGACGAGCAAUCGUCCGGACGGUACCUCCAGAAAAAGCCACGGCUAACUUCGUGCCAGCAGCCGCGGUAAUACGAAGGUGGCAAGCGUUGUUCGGAUUUACUGGGCGUACAGGGAGCGUAGGCGGUUUGGUAAGCCCUUCGUGAAAUCUUCGGGCUCAACCCGGAAAGUUCGGAGGGGACUGCCAGGCUAGAGGACGGGAGAGGAGCGCGGAAUUCCCGGUGUAGCGGUGAAAUGCGUAGAGAUCGGGAGGAAGGCCGGUGGCGAAGGCGGCGCUCUGGAACGUUUCUGACGCUGAGGCUCGAAAGCGUGGGGAGCAAACAGGAUUAGAUACCCUGGUAGUCCACGCCCUAAACGAUGUCAACUAGUUGUUGGGGAUUCAUUUCUUCAGUAACGUAGCUAACGCGUGAAGUUGACCGCCUGGGGAGUACGGUCGCAAGAUUAGAACUCAAAGGAAUUGACGGGGACCCGCACAAGCGGUGGAUGAUGUUGGAUUAAUUCGAUGCAACGCGAAAAACCUUACCUACCCUUGACAUGCCACUAACGAAGCAGAGAUGCAUCAGGUGCCCGAAAGGGAAAGUGGACACAGGUGCUGCAUGGCUGUCGUCAGCUCGUGUCGUGAGAUGUUGGGUUAAGUCCCGCAACGAGCGCAACCCUUGUCUCUAGUUGCUACGAAAAGGGCACUCUAGAGAGACUGCCGGUGACAAACCGGAGGAAAGGUGGGGAUGACGUCAAGUCCUCAUGGCCCUCAUGGGUAGGGCUUCACACGUCAUACAAUGGUGCGUACAGAGGGUUGCCAACCCGCGAGGGGGAGCCAAUCCCAGAAAACGCAUCGUAGUCCGGAUCGUAGUCUGCAACUCGACUACGUGAAGCUGGAAUCGCUAGUAAUCGCGGAUCAGCAUGCCGCGGUGAAUACGUUCCCGGGUCUUGUACACACCGCCCGUCACACCAUGGGAGUGGGUUUUGCCAGAAGUAGUUAGCCUAACCGCAAGGAGGGCGAUACCACGGCAG
rnacentral:rRNA from 1 species